rnacentral:rRNA from 1 species
CACGUAGGGUGCGAGCGUUGUCCGGAAUUACUGGGCGUAAAGUGUGCGCAGGCGGCCGCGCAAGUCGAGUGUGAAAGCCCCGAGCUUAACUUGGGAAUUGCGCUCGAAACUACGUGGCUGGAGUGUGGCAGAGGAAGGUGGAAUUCCAGGUGUAGCGGUGAAAUGCGUAGAGAUCUGGAGGAACACCGAUGGCGAAGGCAGCCUUCUGGGCCAACACUGACGCUCAUGCACGAAAGCGUGGGGAGCAAACAGG